GACCUAGAUUCUUCUUCUUUCGUCGACAUAAUAAACACUUAGAAAAAAAAGCCGUAAACUCCAUCUCUGCCGCAUAGACACUCAGAUCUAUUCCUCUUCGAUACUAGCUCUGAUCUCUUCGACUUUGACUCGCCAUGACUCUCCCCGACCGACAGCACCACCUAACAUCGCGCUCGACCCUCUGUUUCUGGCCUGACAGUUACAGAUUAGAAGCGUUGAACUCAACCUAGUCAACUGCUCUUCUUUCUCCGCCUCUGUUUCCCUUCCGUCUCUCCGAUUUCAGGUUUAGGCUACACAAACGAUAUAUAGGAGAGGUCAAUCCAAGAAACAAGUUUUGGUGUUGAGCUGUGGCUGUCUACAAAUUCAUCCGAACAACAUGGCAAAGCAAUAUCUUGGGACCAUGGAGGUGCUGGACAUUUUGUUCCUCAUAAGAGGGUAGAUACUUAGUGGCAUACUUCCGUGCAACACUACUACUGCAGUCGUUUGCAGAGGAUGAUUCUUCCAAUAGUAUCGGCCAAAAUGCCUCUUCACGUGCCAUUUCUUCUCGCAUUGUCCUUAGAUGCAUGGUGUGCAUAGUUUUUGUAAUUUCAGUUUCAGGUUUGUUUGUGAAACAUCUAGGUAUCUAGUUAAGAUAUUUUGUAUGACUAUGUGAGUCUUUUAGAAAUGUAAGAUUAGAGUGCUUGUUGUAAUUGAAAAUAUUGGUAUUUGGAUUUCAUGGUUUUAAAUUUGGAAUUUCAUUUCAGAUUUCUGAUU